CUGGUUGAUCCUGCCAGUAGUCAUAUGCUUGUCUCAAAGAUUAAGCCAUGCAAGUCUCUGUAUAAGCACUUAUACUGUGAAACUGCGGAAAGCUCAUUAUAUCAGUUAUAGUUUAUUUGAUGGUACCCUUACUACGUGGAUAACCGUAGUAAUUCUAGAGCUAAUACAUGCCCUGAAGCGGUGACUUCGGAAGCCGUGGACUUAUUAGAUCAAGAGCCAACCCCAUUUCGGUGGGAACAAGCUGAAUCAUAGUAAUUUUGCUAAUCGCAUUGGCUUCGGCCGGCGAUGGGUCAUUCAAAUUUCUGCCCUAUCAGCUUUGAUGUUAGUGUAGUGGACUAACAUGGUAUAAACGGGUGACGGAGGAUUAGGGUCUGAUUCCGGAGAGGGAGCCUGAGAAAUGGCUACCACUUCCAAGGAAGGCAGCAGGCGCGUAAAUUACCCAAUCCCGACACGGGGAGGUAGUGACAAGAAAUAACAAUACCGGAUCUUUUCAGGUCUGGUAAUUGGAAUGAGUACAACUUAAAAUCCUUAACAAGGAACAAUUGGAGGGCAAGUCUGGU
rnacentral:rRNA from 1 species